rnacentral:rRNA from 1 species
GACGUAGGAUGCAAGCGUUGUCCGGAAUUAUUGGGCGUAAAGAGUUCGUAGGCGGUGACCUAAGUCUGAUGUUAAAGACGGGAGCUUAACUCCCGCAUGGCAUUGGAAACUGGGCCACUAGAGUGUGGUAGAGGUCUCGGGAAUUCCAGGUGUAGCGGUGAAAUGCGUAGAUAUCUGGAGGAACACCAGUGGCGAAAGCGCGAGACUGGGCCAUAACUGACGCUGAGGAACGAAAGCCAGGGUAGCAAAAGGG